rnacentral:lncRNA from 1 species
AAGAUCUAACAGUUGAGGUUGAUCCACACGAGCCUGAAUGGAUGGCCUAGAUCGAGGCGAGGGGGGUAUUUAAGCAUAUCUUUCUGUCAAACCCCAAACCCUAGCCGACAUACCUCGCUGGAGAACAAGAAGAAGGGUGGCCGGAAGGAGUCCCAACCACUAGAGGAAUACCGAUGCCCCCAUGCCGAAACGUUGAAAACACUUCGACAGGCCAAAAAUUAUUCUCGUUCUUCCUGUUUCUUUGCCUUUACCUAUCUAACAUGUUUUCGAUGUAGGAUAACUGAGAAAAACUUCAAACUGUGAGGAAGGAA